rnacentral:piRNA from 1 species
UCAUCACAAAUGGAAGCAAGAUCUUUG